AGCGGCGGACGGGUGAGCAAUGCCCUGGGAAUCUGCCCAUCAGUGGGGGACAACCCGGGGAAACUCGGGCUAAUACCGCAUACGUUCUGAGGAAGAAAGCAGGGGAUCGCAAGACCUUGCGCUGACGGAUGAGCCCAAGUCGGAUUAGCUAGUUGGUGAGGUAAAAGCUCACCAAGGCGACGAUCCGUAGCUGGUCUGAGAGGACGACCAGCCACACCGGAACUGAGACACGGUCCGGACUCCUACGGGAGGCAGCAGUGGGGAAUAUUGGACAAUGGGGGCAACCCUGAUCCAGCGACGCCGCGUGGGUGAAGAAGGCCUGCGGGUUGUAAAGCCCUUCGUUGGGGAAGAAAAGUUUCGACCUAACACGUCGGGACCUUGACGUUACCCAAAGAAGAAGCACCGGCUAACUCUGUGCCAGCAGCCGCGGUAAUACAGAGGGUGCGAGCGUUAAUCGGAAUUACUGGGCGUAAAGCGCACGUAGAUGGCUUUGUAAGUCGGAUGUGAAAUCCCCGGGCUUAACCUGGGAACUGCAUUCGA
rnacentral:rRNA from 1 species